GACCACGUGGCCUAAUCGAUAAGGCGUCGGAUUUCAGAUCCGAAGAUUACAGGUUAGAGUCCUGUCGUGGUCG